GGGUUCUAAGCAGGAAGGUCUUUGUGUCAUUGUAUUGGCUCGGGGUGAGGGUUCUAAACAGGAAGGUCUUAGUGUCAUUGUAUUGGCUCGGGGUGAGUGUUCUAAACAGGAAGGUCUUUGUAUCAUUGUAUUGGCUCGGGGUGAGUGUUCUAAACAGGAAGGUCUUAGUGUCAUUGUAUUGGCUCGGGGUGAGUGUUCUAAACAGGAAGGUCUUUGUAUCAUUGUAUUGGCUCGGGGUGAGGGUUCUAAACAGGAAGGUCUUAGUGUCAUUGUAUUGGCUCGGGGUGAGUGUUCUAAACAGGAAGGUCUUUGUAUCAUUGUAUUGGCUCGGGGUGAGUGUUCUAAACAGGAAGGUCUUAGUGUCAUUGUAUUGGCUCGGGGUGAGGGUUCUAAACAGGAAGGUCUUUGUGUCAUUGUAUUGGCUCGGGGUGAGGGUUCUAAACAGGAAGGUCUUAGUGUCAUUGUAUUGGCUCGGGGUGAGGGUUCUAAACAGGAAGGUCUUUGUAUGGAUUGUAUUGGCUCGGGGUGAGGGUUCUAAACAGGAAGGGGUGGUGAUUUCUCCUGUAUUCUCUUCUUUCAGUGGGUUGCCUAAACCCCACCCCAUAGGCCCCUAUAUUCAAAUAA
rnacentral:lncRNA from 1 species